UGGGGAAUAUUGCACAAUGGAGGGAACUCUGAUGCAGCGACGCCGCGUGAACGAAGAAGGCUUUCGAGUCGUAAAGUUCUUUUAUAUGGGAAGAUAAUGACGGUACCAUAAGAAAAAGCCCCGGCUAACUACGUGCCAGCAGCCGCGGUAAUACGUAGGGGGCUAGCGUUGUCCGGAAUCACUGGGCGUAAAGGGUUCGCAGGCGGAAAUGCAAGUCAGGUGUAAAAGGCAGUAGCUUAACUACUGUAAGCAUUUGAAACUGCAUAUCUUGAGAGGAGUAGAGGUAAGUGUAAUUUUUAGUGUAGCGGUAAAAUGCGUAGAUAUUAAAAAGAAUACCGGUGGCGAAGGCGACUUACUGGGCUCAUUCUGACGCUGAGGAACGAAAGCGUGGGUAGCAAACAGG
rnacentral:rRNA from 1 species